rnacentral:rRNA from 1 species
UCGGGAAUUUUGCGCAAUGGGCGAAAGCCUGACGCAGCAACGCCGCGUGAGGGAUGAAGGCCUUCGGGUUGUAAACCUCUUUUCUCAGGGACGAUGAUGACGGUACCUGAGGAAUAAGCCACGGCUAACUACGUGCCAGCAGCCGCGGUAAUACGUAGGUGGCAAGCGUUGUCCGGAUUUACUGGGCGUAAAGAGCGCGCAGGCGGUCGUUCAAGUCGCGUGUGAAAGCCCCCGGCUCAACUGGGGAGGGUCACGCGAUACUGAUCGACUCGAAGGCAGGAGAGGGUAGUGGAAUUCCCGGUGUAGUGGUGAAAUGCGUAGAUAUCGGGAGGAACACCAGUGGCGAAGGCGACUACCUGGCCUGUUCUUGACGCUGAGGCGCGAAAGCUAGGGGAGCAAACGGG